rnacentral:rRNA from 1 species
AUAAAUAAGCGGAGGAAAAGAAACCAAAUGGGAUUCCCUUAGUAACGGCGAGCGAAAAGGGAUUAGUCCAGCGCCAAGUCUUGAUGCUUUAGGUAUUCAAGAGAUGCGGCGUUUAUGUAUUGAUGCUUCGUACAAUAUCAUGUGACUCAAGUUCCCUUAAGCAGGACAUCCAAAGAGGGUGGUAGGCCCUUAGAGUCGUUUGAUCGUUGUAUGCCGGUCAAUACAUUUAAGAGUCAAGUUGCUUGAGAGUGCAGCUUAAAGUCGGUGGUAAACUCCAUCUAAGGCUAAAUAUGACAGCGAGACCGAUAGCAAACAAGUACCAUGAGGGAAAGUUGAAAAGGACUUUGAAGAGAGAGUUAAAAGAACGUGAAACCAUUGGGAGGGAAACAGAUGGAACCACGAAGUGAGCUCUUCAGUCGAUUCAAUCAUUAUGUGCAAUUAGCUAUUUAUGAUGGAAUCUUUUUGAAGGUUAAUCAUAACAAGUUUAAAAUUGUUCAUAAUGGUGCAUUUCGUGCUGAGGGUGCAUAGCCACGUUCGACUAGGUAGUUGGGACGACUGUAAGAUAGGAUUCAAGAAAGGUAGCUGCCGUUGAUUUCAACGGUAGUGUUUUAUAGACUUGAAUCGGAAUCGUCGCCAAACAAGCUGGUCGAUAAAAAUUCUCCGUUUGGAGUGUUGUUGCCAUAUGUGUAGUCAAUUUGUAAUUUAUAUUUAAAGUUGUGCUUAAUGCAUUUUAUGGUGCAUUCAAGUUAGCUGGACAAUAUAUGUUUGACAAAUUGAAAAAUUAUAUAUGGUGGAACGGUGGUGCUAAGUAGGUCGGUAUCCAUCUGACCCGUCUUGAAACACGGACCAAGGAGCCUAUCAUAUACGCGAGUCGCUCGGUCUUGAUUAGGCCCGGGAGGCGAAAUGAAAGUAAAACUACUAAGUGAUUUAACACUGCAGUAGUGGCUCGUCUACUUCAUUUAUUAAUGAUAUGGCGAAGCUGGAGCGUAUACGAUGGUACCCGAAAGAUGGUGAACUAUGCCUGGGCAAGAUGAAGCCAGAGGAAACUCUGGUGGAGGUCUGUAGCGAUUCUGACGUGCAAAUCGAUCGUCAGACCUGGGUAUAGGGGCGAAAGACUAAUCGAACCAUCUAGUAGCUGGUUCCCCCCGAAGUUUCCCUCAGGAUAGCAGGCGCUUUUUAUAAACAGUCUCAUCUGGUAAAGCUAAUGAUUAGAGGCAUUGGGGUUGAAACGACCUCAACCUAUUCUCAAACUUUAAAUGGGUGAGAUUGCUGACUUGCUUAAUUGAAGUCAGUAAGUGGAUGGUGAGUGCCUAGUGGGCCAUUUUUGGUAAGCAGAACUGGCGCUGUGGGAUGAACCAAACGUCGAGAUAAGGCAUCUAAUGCAUACGCUCAUUAGACCCCAUGAAAGGUGUUGGUUGCUAUAGACAGCAGGACGGUGGCCAUGGAAGUCGGAAUCCGCUAAGGAGUGUGUAACAACUCACCUGCCGAAGCAACUAGCCCUGAAAAUGGACGAUGCUGUAGCGUGGAGCCGAUACUCGACCGUUAUGACGAAAUAAAAAAAUGAGAUGUCGUAACGAGUAGGGGGGUCGCCAUGAUAGCGUAAAAGGUGUCGGACGUGAGUCCGCCUGAAGCUGUCAUUGUUGCAGAUCUUGGUGGUAGUAGCAAAUACUCAAGUGAGAAUCUUGAGGACUAAGGUGGAGAAGGGUUCCAUGUGAACAGCAGUUGGACAUGGUUCAGUCGGUCCUAAGGGAGCGGAGAAAUCCGUUAAAACAGUCCGAUUUGAUUACAUGUAUUUUACAGAUAUAUAUAGAUACCGGACUAGUCUCCCGAAAGGGAAUCGGGUUAAUAUUCCCGAACUAGUACAUGGGGGAGCACYUGUGGGUGCUUGUGCGGUAACGUAUUCAAAUUCGGAGACAUCGGCAGCAGUCCUGGGAAGAGUUGUCUUUUCUCUAUAAGAUGUCGAAUCCAUGAAAACAGAUUGUCUGGAGAUAUGGAUAGUGRCAUCGAAGAGCUCAGCAGUUCUCGCUGGGUCCGGUGCGCUGCUGUCGGUCCUUGAAAAUCCGAAAGCGAUGUUUACCCUCAUGUCUAGCCGUACCAAUAUCCGCAUCAGGUCUCCAAGGUUAACAGCCUCUAGUUUGUAGAAUAAUGUAGGUAAGGGAAGUCGGCAAAACUGAUCCGUAACUUCGGGAUAAGGAUUGGCUCUGAAGGAUGGGUCGUUCGGGCUGUGAUCUGAUGUUUGCAAAGCACCUGACUGGGACUGGAUGUUUCGAUGCGUUCGGACCUGUGUUGGUGUCUGCCUACGGAGGAUCAUGGCUACGCCUUGAUUUUAACCAAAUCAAGUGUCGUUUCGGGCGGCAUUUAACAUCCUAUUCAGAACUGGCACGGACCCGGGGAAUCCGACUGUCUAAUUAAAACAAAGCAUUGCGAUGGCCGGAGAUCGGUGUUGACGCAAUGUGAUUUCUGCCCAGUGGUAUGAAUGUCAAUGUGAAGAAAUUCACUU